rnacentral:lncRNA from 1 species
AUGGCAAAGAAACUAUUUUGGCCAAGAGAGACUGCUGGUGUCUUAUGUUCCUCUUUCUUUCCCCUCAAAGCCUCUCAAAGAUUGUUCUCUGCCUUGGGCUCAGCUCCUCAGUGUCUUCUCUGCUUCCUUCACUUCCUCCCUCAGUUUCAACUGAUGGUGAGUGGAUGUCGCUCUUUUGAACCCCUUGUGGUUUUUCUUAUGGGAGCUGCCUCUUCCCCACCUUGUACAACUCCAGGAGCCUCUCCCCCAAAGUCACCCGACCUCGGGGACCUGUGAAUCCCCCCUCUGCAGGGCAUCAGAUGUGGAACAAAGCCUUUCUCCUCCCUCUGGAACCAUGAGCUGUGAACCCCAGGCAGUUUGUCAGCGUCUGAGGCCAUGGUUGCUAUUAGGGGGUGUGGCUCCAGCUCAGGGCGGAGCCAGGCAUUUCUGAGAGCUUAGGAGACAGACAGGGCCUCCGUGUUUGCACACUUGGACCCAACAAUGCUGAAAUCAACAGUGUCCCCCAGACUUCUCAAUCCGCUGAACCCAUAAACCUGCUUUUUUGCUUAAACUAACUUGAGUUGGGUUUUUAUCACUUAGAACCAAGACUUCUGCUAAUCCGCACGGCCUUGGCAUGAGACAGUUUUAGGGGUGGGGAAAGGCUUAAACAACCCAUAAAGUUCUCUCUGGAGGCUGCAGGUGGCUUUUCAGAGCUUUUUGCUUAUAAACCCACCCUUGGAGUGCUCCGACAGGGCCGGCUCAGGGAAGGUUCCGGGGCAGGUGCCUCUCUGCAGGGAAGCCAUUUGGAAGAGCUCACAGGAUGCCCGUGAGGGCUGUGGGCCCUGGGCAGCCCUUGCUUGGAGGUGCUGGCCUUGCAACUGUCACAAAGCUCCGUGGUGGAGCCCAUCUUUUCCAAGGGGUGUCCUGUGGCCAGCACCCUGACCCCAGCCAGGCAUUUUCCUCGGUGUUCCCUGGAUGGUGUUUGUCUUAGCUUCAAGACUUCCCUCCCCACCCCCACCCCUUGGCUUUGUCUUUAGGGCUCCUAGAAGGUCAACUUCCCACAGCUGCUCCUCCCCUAGCUGUCCGGGUAGAAGGCAGAGGGAAACCUGCUGACGUAACCCCCGUUCCUCUGAGCACCGCUCCAGGGGCAAGAAACAGAGGCUUUACCCACCCGGACAAAGCUGCCUCUGAGCAAAGUCUCUGCUAACCACGCCCCAGAGCAGAGGCCGUCACGCGCCCAGCGGUCACGAAAGGGUCCCAGGUACGAGAGGAGCUUCUGGUCUCCCUGUCCAGAGUUCCUUUGUGUCUCACCACCAGGCCCCAGUCAGCCCCUUUAUUGGAGGGGCAGGGCUGUGUUCAAGAAGGGGGGAAACAUCCCUGGGCCCCCCCCCUAAAAUAAACUGCUGCUGAGUGCCUGGGCUUUGAAAAUU